rnacentral:rRNA from 1 species
CCCCAUACCGGGGGAUAACAGCUGGAAACGGCUGCUAAUACCGCAUAAGCGCACAGAGCUGCAUGGCUCGGUGUGAAAAACUCCGGUGGUAUGGGAUGGGCCCGCGUCUGAUUAGGCAGUUGGCGGGGUAACGGCCCACCAAACCGACGAUCAGUAGCCGGCCUGAGAGGGCGACCGGCCACAUUGGGACUGAGACACGGCCCAAACUCCUACGGGAGGCAGCAGUGGGGAAUAUUGCACAAUGGGGGAAACCCUGAUGCAGCGACGCCGCGUGAGCGAAGAAGUAUUUCGGUAUGUAAAGCUCUAUCAGCAGGGAAGAUAAUGACGGUACCUGACUAAGAAGCCCCGGCUAACUACGUGCCAGCAGCCGCGGUAAUACGUAGGGGGCAAGCGUUAUCCGGAUUUACUGGGUGUAAAGGGAGCGUAGACGGCAAGGCAAGUCUGAUGUGAAAACCCAGGGCUUAACCCUGGGACUGCAUUGGAAACUGUCUGGCUCGAGUGCCGGAGAGGUAAGCGGAAUUCCUAGUGUAGCGGUGAAAUGCGUAGAUAUUAGGAAGAACACCAGUGGCGAAGGCGGCUUACUGGACGGUAACUGACGUUGAGGCUCGAAAGCGUGGGGAGCAAACAGGAUUAGAUACCCUGGUAGUCCACGCCGUAAACGAUGAA